rnacentral:rRNA from 1 species
GGGUGACAGCCCCGUACACAAAAGCGCAUGUGCUGUGAGCUCGAUGAGUAGGGCGGGACACGUGGUAUCCUGUCUGAAUAUGGGGGGACCAUCCUCCAAGGCUAAAUACUCCUGACUGACCGAUAGUGAACCAGUACCGUGAGGGAAAGGCGAAAAGAACCCCGGCGAGGGGAGUGAAAAAGAACCUGAAACCGUGUACGUACAAGCAGUGGGAGCCCCACCACUAAGCCAGUGGUGAACUCCACAUACGCAUCCUUUGCUGAGGAUACGGUUAACGGAGCGAAAGCGACGUUCAACCUCAAAAGAAGCAGAGGGGGCUUAGUGGUGGGGUGACUGCGUACCUUUUGUAUAAUGGGUCAGCGACUUAUAUUCUGUAGCAAGGUUAACCGAAUAGGGGAGCCGGAGGGAAACCGAGUCUUAACCGGGCGUUAAGUUGCAGGGUAUAGACCCGAAACCCGGUGAUCUAGCCAUGGGCAGGUUGAAGGUUGGGUAACACUAACUGGAGGACCGAACCGACUAAUGUUGAAAAAUUAGCGGAUGACCUGUGGCUGGGGGUGAAAGGCCAAUCAAACCGGGAGAUAGCUGGUUCUCCCCGAAAGCUAUUUAGGUAGCGCCUCGUGAAUUCAUCUCCGGGGGUAGAGCACUGUUUCGGCUAGGGGGCCAUCCCGGCUUACCAACCCGAUGCAAACUGCGAAUACCGGAGAAUGUUAUCACGGGAGACACACGGCGGGUGCUAACGUCCGUCGUGAAGAGGGAAACAACCCAGACCGCCAGCUAAGGUCCCAAAGUCAUGGUUAAGUGGGAAACGAUGUGGGAAGGCCCAGACAGCCAGGAUGUUGGCUUAGAAGCAGCCAUCAUUUAAAGAAAGCGUAAUAGCUCACUGGUCGAGUCGGCCUGCGCGGAAGAUGUAACGGGGCUAAACCAUGCACCGAAGCUGCGGCAGCGACGCUUAUGCGUUGUUGGGUAGGGGAGCGUUCUGUAAGCCUGUGAAGGUGGCCUGUGAGGGUUGCUGGAGGUAUCAGAAGUGCGAAUGCUGACAUAAGUAACGAUAAAGCGGGUGAAAAGCCCGCUCGCCGGAAGACCAAGGGUUCCUGUCCAACGUUAAUCGGGGCAGGGUGAGUCGACCCCUAAGGCGAGGCCGAAAGGCGUAGUCGAUGGGAAACGGGUUAAUAUUCCCGUACUUGGUGUUACUGCGAAGGGGGGACGGAGAAGGCUAUGUUGGCCGGGCGACGGUUGUCCCGGUUUAAGCGUGUAGGUGUGUGUUCCAGGUAAAUCCGGUUCACUUUAACACUGAGGCGUGAUGACGAGGCACUACGGUGCUGAAGCAACAAAUGCCCUGCUUCCAGGAAAAGCCUCUAAGCAUCAGGUAACAUCAAAUCGUACCCCAAACCGACACAGGUGGUCAGGUAGAGAAUACCAAGGCGCUUGAGAGAACUCGGGUGAAGGAACUAGGCAAAAUGGUGCCGUAACUUCGGGAGAAGGCACGCUGACACGUAGGUGAAGUGAUUUACUCA